AUGAAGCCCCCCCACACCCUGUAUGGAUAGCUCAGAAUUGUGGAGUCCACCGUCCCUGCCCCAGAGUCAUGGUUUCCACCAGCACAGAGGCUGCUUUGGAGACAAUAGAUCAUUUUCUUCCCCUAAACCAAACACCUUCGCGCUCAACUGGCAUUAUUCCUAAAGCGGCUUCACUGGUCAGACUAAAGGGCCAUGGUAGCCCAAGUGAUGAGUGGAGUAGAAUGGAGAAGUCGGGAAGUAUCUUGUUCUUCAUAGAAAACUUGGCAACUUUGUGGUUUCUGAGCGAUCCCAGGAGGCUAAUCAUACAAAGACCUCUGGUCCCUGACCCCAGUCUGCCUCCACAUCCCUGGAAUCACAGGCCCUUCACCCUCAGCAGGUGGACACCUUUCAACCUGUUGGGGCAGAUAUGUUCCCAUUUCAUUGCAUUUGGCGACAACAGGAUUCUCUGUCCAGGUCCCACUGUUCUCAAGUCCUUGGGAAGGAGCCCACUCCUGCUUAGGGCCUGAGACUCCAGAGACCCGUGCAGGUUUGGGCCCCUGGGUCUGGCCCCUUUUCACCUGGGGGCAGUGGUGGAAUGGGGGUCAUGAGCCACCAGCAUCUGGGAGCCCGGCAGGAGUGGCUCAGGUGUUCUCCGAAGCUCUCAGGUACAGUGUCACCUUUGGAUGAUUUGUCUCGCACGAUGGACAUGGGAGAGAAUGUGGAUACCCUCCUGGCACAGGAGUGAGGGGACAUCAUUACCAAGUAGGAGCAGGUACAGUCGGUCUGCUCCCUGGACGGAGGCCUCUCCCAGUGUGCCCUGGUCAAAGGGUCCUGGGCUCCCCAGGAGCACAGAGUGGUGACAAGUUGACAACACCCCCAGGCCCUUGCACCUUUUACCUUGGAUGCCUCACCCUGGCUCCCUCUGGGCUUCAGGGAUGUGGAACUGGGCUGCCAGUGGACAUAGAGCCUGGACAUGUUAACAUCUACAAGAUCUCUGAUCACCUUGGGAUUCUGCAGUGAGUCCUCUGUGCGCCUCUCACCCUCUAAAGCACAAAUCUCAGGUCAGGGAUGGGUUUCGCUUUUAGAAAGGUCUUUCUGAGGCAGGAUGUGUCUCCUCAGCUUGGGCCUACCUCUUUUCUAGGGUAGAACUCCUCCCGGGCUCCCCUGCAGAUCCAGCCCGUGAUUGUUGUUAGGCCAGAGGUGCGUGGCCCAUCUAGGGAGUGUGGCUCAUCUAGGGAGCAGGUGGGAAUGGAGAGAGGGCUAGGUCAGGCUCCUGGGCUCUCAGCAGUUCUGUCUCCAAGUUAGCACAAGAGGAGGCAGGCAGCUUGAGGGUCUGGCCCUGUCCACUUGGACACUAUCCUAGUGAGAUCCAAGGGUUGUGGCCACAGGGUGUGGGGGCACCUGGUCCAGCCUUGGGGCAGCUGUCCAGCAGGUCUCUGAGGGCCCACCUGCCCUUCUUCUCCUCAUUCCCCUAGGGCCACGGCCCUCACUGUCCCCAUGCUCUUCCCCAUGGACCAUGCCAUGGUUCCCUCAAGGACCAUGCCCUUCCCCAUGGGGACAGUGAGGGCUGUGGGCCUAAGGGAAUGGGGCAGAAGAUGGUCAGGGUCCCCCAUUCUAGGCAUUCUGGCCAGGCGGGCAGCAGAACUUGUGGCUAAAGGCCCUGGGUCUGGUACUGGGAGGGCAUCUGGGGCCAGAUAAGAGGAGCCCAGCCUGGAGCCAAUCCCUUAGGGGUCACAGGAUGGAGAGACAGAGGACCCCGGGGGAGGUGGGAUGGGAGUAAGCCCAUGGGCUGUGCCACGUCAGAAAUGCACCCCAAUGGAGCUGAUGGUCUGGGGAGGACAAUAGAUGGGGUGGGACCGAAAACACCAGCUUACCUGGGACUCCUCAGCAGAGGGAGUCAGUCUGUCCCCAAGAUUCUACGUGGCUUUCCGGAGACUCUGCUUCCAGUUGGCUUGGACAGCACAAUGGACAGGGGGUGAUCGGGGGACUGACCUGGGGCAGGCAGGACAGUGGGGGAGAACGGCCAGGCAUCACAAGUUCCGGCUGCUGCAGUGUCUGGGAGGAGGCUGAGGCUGACAGCCAACAGCUCUGAUAGCCGGGUGAGGCUGGAGGUGGGGCCGGGAGGCUGUCCUGGCAGUCUGUGGGGCCCUCGGUCACCCACGCCACCCCUGGCAUCUCUCGAGCAGGCAAGGCAGGCAUGAGAACACAUCUGGGGAGUCUCACUCAGGGAUUCUGACAGGACCAGGGUCGAAGUACACCCAGGGUGGCUGGAGAGACAUUCACGUGCCUUUGGGUUGGACAGGAUGGCAGAAAUCGGGGAACAAGCAGGGUGUGUGGCUCAGGUGCAGGGAGAGGCAGGUGGACGACAGGAGGUCAUCCCCUGCGAGGACCUUGGGAUUGUUGGGUGGGAUGGGCCCCGGGUGCACCGGGCAGGUCUCAGGCCAGGCACCCUAGACCCCAGCAGGGUGAUGCGGUCACUCCCUGAGGGACUCCCAUCCGGGUGCGGCCACCCACCUGGGCAGCAGCCGUCCCAUCUCAGAGCUGAUAUUUUUCAGCUCCAGCAGAAAGCACCACCUCCAGUCUAGGAGGGGCAGCCCUAUUGUGCAGCCCAACCAUCGCCCCACACCAGGGGCCCCUAGUGGCCCUGGCCAGGCUGGCCCUGAACUCCGUCUUCUCCCAGGUCGUGGACCCUCCUGGGACUCAGCCCCACAAGGCCCUUGUCCUCUCUUCCCUGUGGCUUCUCCUGAGCUGAGACCUGGGGUGGAUGGGGACAGAGCCAGUCCUUUCUAGGGGUGGACUCCUGGACCGGAUGGCUCCAGGCCCUGUGCAGGUACUCAGCUCUGUCAGGUGCCUUACAGUGAGACAGAGCUGCCCCCAUCAAUGCCCUGGAGGUGAAGGUAAGAGCCUGUCCCCGAUGCUUGGAGAGCUGGUCUAGGGACAGGGGACUCAGCGGGUAGUCGGUGAGGCAGAGGAGGCAGUGGGCCUGGGUGGUGGUGGGUGGGAGCAACAUGCUGUCACUGGGAGGGGCAGCUGUCCCUGCUGGACCUGACCCCAAGUCUCUGUUUCUCUGGCAGUUUGCCGAAAUUUCAAAGUGAGAACAACAGUCGUGGCUUGGGGGUGGCUGCCCGCUUGUGUCAGGACCCCACCUAGAGGCCGUGACCUGACCUAAGACUGCAAAUGUGACAGGACAUGAGACACAUGGAAAAGUGGCUGAAGAUGCUGGGAGAAUGGCAGAAAUAUAGGAAGAGCAAGAAGAAGUGCUGACUGUGGGCUGACUGCCAUCUGGGGCAGGGGUCCUUCCAUCUGUUCUGAGGCUGCUUCCUCCUCCUGGCCAUGCCCUACAGGUCAUGAAGGAAAAGGGCAAGAGGUCCUCUGAAAACAUCCACCAGAUUGACCUGGAUGUGAGCCAGACACUGAGGAAUCACAUAGUAUUUAGGAAAUGAUAUGGCAUCAGGUAAAACUAUGGGAGACACAGGGUCCCAGCGGAGAUGAAGUGAACCAGAGGGAUGGAGACUUCCCAGGAGCAAAAACCAGGUUCACCCAGGAGGGAUGACGGAGCUGCCAAGGGCUCUCCUGGCCCAGGGAGCAGCCGGCACCAGGCACUGAGCACCUCCCAGGUUGCAAGCCCUGGGCCAGGCUAGAACAUGUGGGGCCAGAACCCAGGAGGAUCCUGAGGAGACAGAAGGCAGCAAACAAAAUCAUGCACAAUGGUGAAAAGUGCUCUCCCUGACCCACGGGGACCCAUGGGUUGGGGGCAGCAGGAUGGAGGGCUGGUGAACCUCCCCUGGCAACACUGACAGUACCAAAUGCUGGGGGCGGGGGGAUUCAGGGCCCCGGAGACUCUCAUCCGCAGCUGGUGGAAAUGUGACAUGAACAGCCACUUUGGAAGCCAGUUGGGCAUCGCUUGCAAAGUUCAGUGGACUCAAACCACACGUGCCCGAAAGGUCACAGACAUUGAACCAACUGAUUUGAAAACUGACAUCCACAUUGUAGAAAGCAAAAAGUUCCUCUUCAAAGUUUCCCUUCUUGUUAAAGAAUAAAUCAUAAGUGUUAGAAAUAACAGUUUCCUGUAAAGACUAACUUCCUUCCAGCCUCCUUGCUUUGUGCUAAUAGCUCUUUGUUAAGCCCUAUCCUAUGUAGCUGUUAGAUAUAAAGGAAUAAGUACAUUCUAUGCCCUUGUACUUUAAUCAAGAUUAUCUGUGCUGGACGUACUCACAGACAGGUCCCAGCUCGAAGCCUAUGCCCCUUCCUUAUUUGGGAAUGUUAUUACUUUUCUAAGUCUUUUCAUAAACAGCUUCCUCUUUUCCUUUGUUCUCCAUUGCUUUUACCUAGUUAGAGACAUUUUAAAUUAUUAGCCAGUCAGGUUUAGUUUAGAUUGUGUGGUCUGGCUCCAGCCAAUGGAGACAGGACACAGUAGCAGGGACAAGCUGCAUAAAGGAUAAAAAUUGCUUCCCUCCUUUAUUCAGGUGCACUCUCUCCAUUGUUCCAUCUGCAAGGAGCACCCUUUCUGCAGAAGGUAAAAUUGCCUUGCUGAGAAAACUUUUUGUCUAAAUGCUGAUGUUUCCUUGUGGUACUGAGGAACAAGCAUUCUGUUUCUAAAUAAACAUUUUACUUAUA